AGUUGCUUUAACUGGAGUGGGGCUUCCAAGAUGGCUACUGCCUGCUCCCACACUGAUUUUUCAACUGUAUGUAGGUCCAAACUUCCUUGACUCUACCACUGUCUUCUGAUCCCCAAAUUUUCCCCAAAACAGUCAGAACUCAAAGGGCAUUACACUGAAGAGAAAGAAGAUCUGGGCUCUAAUCCUGUCUGACACCUACUAGUGUGUUUUUUGGGAAACCUGCUGAUUAUGAAAGAUGAUCUAUUUGAAUUUUAUCUUCUAAUUUUGUCUUUAUUCACCUAAAUUUCCUUUAUCUACUACACUUUGGUGUUUUCUUACUUCUAAAGCGUUUCAGAAAUCAUA